rnacentral:rRNA from 1 species
AUACGGAGGGUGCAAGCGUUGUCCGGAAUCAUUGGGCGUAAAGAGUUCGUAGGUGGUAUGUUAAGUCUGGUGUUAAAGCCCGAAGCUCAACUUCGGUAGGGCACUGGAUACUGGCAAACUUGAAUGUGGUAGAGGUAAAGGGAAUUCCUGGUGUAGCGGUGAAAUGCGUAGAUAUUAGGAGGAACACCGGUGGCGAAGGCGGCUACCUGGACCGAUACUGACGCUGAGACGCGAAAGCGUGGGGAGC